rnacentral:rRNA from 1 species
UACGAAGGGGGCAAGCGUUAUUCGGAAUAACUGGGCGUAAAGGACGCGUAGGCGGUUUGCUAAGUCAGCUGUUAAAUUUCAGGGCCUAACCCUGAGUGUGCAGAUGAUACUGGCGGAACUAGAGUAUGGAAGAGAGGGGUGGAAUUCUUGGAGUAGCGGUAAAAUGCGUAGAUCUCAAGAGGAACACCGAUGGCGAAGGCAGCCCCUUGGUCCAAUACUGACGCUGAGGCGUGAAAGCGUGGGGAGCAAACAGG